GGAUCGCUAGGGUCUAGCAGCGAUGACGAACGUAGAAGAGUACGAAAAGUCAGAAGACGUUUCCAAUAGUGAGAGAGAUUUCACGAAGACCCUCUGAACUUAAGCAUAUCAUUAAGAGGAGGAAAAGAAACUAACUAGGAUUUCAUAAGUAGUGGCGAAUGAACAUGAAGAAGCUCAGAUGAUAAAAGCACGCAAGUGUUUGUUGUAAUGAGAGUCGCGAAGACCUGUAGGAAAGCAGGACAAGAAGGGGUGAUAGUCCCCGGGCGGCAGGAGAUUUAGAGAGUAGUGCUGUUUGGUAGUGCAGUGUGAAGGGGAGGUAGUAACUUCCAAGGCUAAAUAUAGUUAGACACCGAUAGCAAAGAAGUAGCGCGAGCGAAAGAUGAAAAAGUUUCAUAUAGAAAGUGAAAUAGUGAAAGUACCAGGGGGUAAGCCGAGAGACUCGGACCCGUAUUGUAACACGGACCAAGGAGAUUUUGAGUGCAGCGAGGUGAAUGUAUGGAAAACAGAAGCCGAGAGAAGUUUAGGAGUUGCAUUCAUAAGACCCGAAAGGUAGUGAACUAUGUCUGUUUUGAUUGAAGUCAGGAUAAAUUCUGAUGGAGGAUCUAAGUCGUAUUGAUGUUCAACUCAUUGACAAAAGAUGGGCAUAGGGGCGAAAGACCAAUCGAACUACCUGGUAGCUGGUUCCAGCCGAAAUGUCUCUCAGGACAGCGGUGCUCAAGUCUAUGUAUAAUGUUAUAGAUAAUUUAUUGUUUGUAAUUAUUGUAUAAGUGUAGAAAGGUAGGAAGAUGCAGUAGAGAGGAUGUGGACUUAGUCAACAAACUCCGAAUGUGUCGUUUGGUUUGAGAGUGAUCCAAGCCAAAAGUCUAUAGAGCACUAGUGGGCUCUCUGUGGUAAGCAUGGGGCGCAAAAAGGGAUGAACCUAGCAAAGAGAUAAAUGGCCAAAGACAGGACAAAGAGCCCAUAAAAGUGGUAUCUAAAUUAAGACAGUGGGGCGGUGGCCAUGGAGGUUGGCAUCCGCUAAGAAACGUGUUACAACGUACCCAUCGAAUUUAGGACUACUUAAAAUGGAUGGCGCUGACCUGUGUCAUGAUGCUCUUGAAGCGAAGUUUAGUAGGCUGGCAUGAUUGUACUAGAGAAGGGCGUGUGUGGACGCGUCUGGAGGUGCAUUCAGAGCAGAUCUUGGAGGUAGUAGCAUCAUUAAAAUGUACUUAAGAAGACGGGUUUGUCCUUUGAAUAGAAGGAAGUGAUACGAUCCUAUUGUCGCAAGUUAGUUUAUUUGUAGCAAUAUAGAUAGAUGAAUAGGCAAGUAAAAGGGAAGAAUUUAAAUAUUAAUUCGAAGCUGCCCGAAGUGGCGACACUAAGCACGAAUCCGCCGUAUACAGUAUGUAGUUAUUGUAUUUAUUUAUGAUAGCUAUAUAUGAAGGAGUGUAAAUUUGCUCAAGGUAUGGAGGCUCUGGAAAGUCAUAUUGAGAAGGAGUCGAAGGGGGAUGAUAAAAAGGCAGGGCAGUUGUCGUACCGAACCGCAUCAGGACUUCAGGGUUAGGAGCCCAAAGUAUAAGAAAAAAGUAAGUAAGGGAAAUCGGCAAAAUGGAUGAAAAACCUCGGGAUAAUUAUUGGCUCUAGCACGCUAGAACUGGGCUUACAAGGGGAAUCUGACUGUUUAAUAAAAACAUAGCUUUGUGUAGAUGCAAAGUGAAUUCUGCUCAGUGCUUGGGACGUUAAGGAAGUAAUUUUAAGUACGCACUUGUAAACAGCGGGAGUAACUAUGACUCUCUUAAGGUAGCCAAAUGCCUCGUCGUCUAAUUAGCGACGCGCAUGAAUGGAGCAACGAGAUUCCCACUGUCCCUACUUGCCAUCUAGCGAACUAACAGCCAAGGGAACGGGCUUGGCCAGGUCAGCGGGGAAAGAAGACCCUAUUGAGCUUGACUCUAGUCUGAAAUUGUGAAGUAUUUUUAUGGGUGUAGAAUAGGUGGGAGUUGUAAAAAAAACAAUCUUGAAAUACCACUACCGUAAAUAAUAUUUUACUUAUCUAUUUAAAUUUAUGAAUAAUGUUAAAAAGUUAUUGAAUUUUUUCAACUUCUUGAUUUUUUCUAAAGAGAAAAACUACUUUUCUUUUAUAAAAAAACUUAUAGAAAACAUUUCAGAAGGGGAGUUUGGCUGGGGCGGCACAUCUGUUAAAUGAUAACACAGGUGUCCAAAGAUGAGCUCAACAAGAACAGAAAUCUUGUGUUGAACAAAAGGGUAAAAGCUACAUUUGAUUUUGUUGAUUUUCAAGUAGGAAUACAAACUGUGAAAGCAUGGCCUAUCGAUCCUUUAUUUAUUUUCUUUUAAAAAAAAAUGUGUAGAAAAGCCACUACUUGGCGAUAGAGGUGUCAGAAUAGUUACCAUAGGGAUAACUGGCUUGUGGUGGCCAAGCGUUCAGAGCGACGUCACUUUUUGAUUCUUCGAUGUCGGCUCUUCCUACACUGCUCGAAGCAGAAUUCGGCAAGGUUCGGAUUGUUCACCCGCCAAUAGGGAACGUGAGCUGGGUUUAGACCGUCGUGAGACAGGUUAGUUUUACCCUACUGACUAAAAAAAAAAGUCUUCUUCUAAUAGUAAUUCGACUCAGUACGAGAGGAACGGUUGAUUCAGAUAAUUGGUGCCACCGUUGGUCGAUAGGCCACCAUGCGGUCAAGCUACCAUCUGUUGGAUAAAGGCUGAACGCCUCUUAAGUCCGAAUCCAUGCUAAAUUAUUUU
rnacentral:rRNA from 1 species